rnacentral:rRNA from 1 species
CACGUAGGCACCAAGCGUUGUCCGGAUUUAUUGGGCGUAAAGAGCACGUAGGCGGUUCGGUAAGUCGGGUGUGAAAACUUUGGGCUCAACCCAAAGCGUGCACUCGAUACUGCCAUGACUAGAGUUCGGUAGGGGAGUGGGGAAUUCCUAGUGUAGCGGUGAAAUGCGCAGAUAUUAGGAGGAACACCGGUGGCGAAGGCGCCACUCUGGGCCGAAACUGACGCUGAGGAGCGAAAGCGUGGGUAGCAAACAGG